rnacentral:rRNA from 1 species
UACAGAGGGUGCAAGCGUUGUUCGGAAUCAUUGGGCGUAAAGGGCGCGUAGGCGGCCCUGUGUGUCGGGUGUGAAAGCCCACCUCUUAAAGGUGGAAUUGCAUUCGAAACUACAGGGCUGGAGUGUCGGAGAGGAUGGCGGAAUUCCUGGUGUAGAGGUGAAAUUCGUAGAUAUCAGGAGGAACACCGGUGGCGAAGGCGGCCAUCUGGACGACAACUGACGCUGAGG